GAACGGGUGCGUAACACGUGAGCAACCUUCCGAAAUAUGGGGGAUAGCCGGCCUAACGGCCGAGUAAUACCGCAUACGCUCUCGAUGAGGCAUUUCAUUGAGAGGAAACCUCCGGGGUAUUUCGAGGGGCUCGCGGCCUAUCAGCUAGUUGGCGAGGUAACGGCUCACCAAGGCAACGACGGGUAGCUGGUCUGAGAGGAUGGCCAACCACAUUGGGACUGAGAUACGGCCCAG
rnacentral:rRNA from 1 species